rnacentral:rRNA from 1 species
GACGAACGCUGGCGGCGUGCUUAACACAUGCAAGUCGAACGGGUCUGCCCUGUUUUUUGCGGGGUGGGUCAGUGGCGAACGGGUGAGUAACACGUGAGUAACCUGCCCCUCACUUCUGGAUAACCGCUUGAAAGGGUGGCUAAUACGGGGUGUUCUGGCUGUGCCGCAUGGUGUGGCUGGGAAAGAUUCACUUUUGUGGUGUUUUGGUGGGGGAUGGGCUCGCGGCCUAUCAGCCUGUUGGUGGGGUGAUGGCCUGCCAAGGCUUUGACGGGUAGCCGGCCUGGGAGGGUGGGCGGUCACACUGGGACUGAGAUACGGCCCAGACUCCUGCGGGAGGCAGCAGUGGGGGGUAUUGCACAAUGGGCGGAAGCCUGAUGCAGCGACGUCGCGUGAGGGAUGGAGGCCUUCGGGUUGUGAACCUCUUUCGCCGGUGAAGAAGGUCCUGCUCUUUGUGGUGGGGUUGACGGUAGCCGGGUUAUGAAGCGCCGGCUAACUACGUG